UUCCUCAGCAAAAAAAAAAAAAAGGCAAAACAAAUGAGAAUUUUGUCUGAUGUUUGAUUUGUAUGAAUACAUUAUAAAUUCAUAUUAGAAAACAGCAAUACUGAGGUGUAAAAAUGUUGGAAAUGUGAAGUUAAAACUGAAUCACAAAUUAUGCUGAACUUGAAGUCCAGGUUUUGUGGAUGGUAAAUAGGACAAAGGAGACAUUCAGGAACCUAGACAUGCCCAUGAAUGACUGACUAUCAUGUUGCUUCUUAAAAUGCAUGUGAACUGAUGGUGAAAAUCUAUUGUUUUUCUUAAGUUGUAUCAAUGGUUUCCCAUUUUACUUGUUGACCUUAAACAAAUAGACUGCAGUUAUUUCUCCAGCAAAAAUAGGUUUAUUCAAGAUCAGCAAAGAAUUACCAUUCGGGGUCUGCAACCCAACCGUGUUAAGCCAUGUGCAAGUCCCCAGCAGCAAGGGGAGGAGAGACUCUUUUAUAGAGGGGAAGAAGAAGUUGGGAGGGCUGUUGUAAACAAAGAAUCCAUUGGAAGAGACUGGGGGUUGAAGAGUAGUGGCUUUUCAUUGGCUGAGCUGUGACAGUCUCUCAUUGGCUGAGCUUCUUGCUGAUCAAGAAGAGAAAGUGUUUCUUUUUCCUGUUGGACUCUGCUAUCGACCUAGGGUGUGAUAGCUCCUCUUUUGCCUUCCCAACUCCAUUUUAAUGAAGUUUCUGUUUGUUAAUUUCCGCAUUUCUUCCUUUUGAUUGGGAUCUUUCUCUGAAAGCAUCCCUGAUCAAGAGUCAGGUUUUUCUGGUUUCAGCAACCUUUUGUCCCUCAAUGCCAAGAAGAACAUUUUCUGGCUGUCCUGUUCCAUGUUGGAGGCAAGGUGCACAGAUUAGAAACCUAUUGUGGCCAUAUUUGCAUAAUAAAGAGGAUAGGAGGGAGAACUCUCAGGCAUUUUUCUUUUCUGAAGUCCAUAUGUUAUCAAGAUCAUAGGCAUUGGAGGUCAUGCGAAGCAUUAUGUCAUCAUCAAAGGUUUGACAGACAAACUCCCAACAGGCCUGGUCCAGACAUCUUGACAAAGCUCUCUCAUCAGAUGUUGUCUGCUUCAAUUCCGGGAAAUCUUUGCUUUUAAGUCACCAGAUGAUGUGCGGUUCCCGUCAGGGUUUGGUGCUUUCUAUAGGUGUGUCACAUGAAUUCAAGAGCCUGUUCCCUGCAUUGUGGCAGCACAAGGGUUAGUUAGCAGUAUCUGAUGGGGCCCUUCCAGUGAGGCUGAAGAGAGGCCUUCUGGAGGUGUCUUUUCCAAAAGACAAAAUCUCCAGGUUGCAAAGCAUGACACUUAAGGUCUUCGUUUCUCUGGAGUGCACUGUGAAAAGAUCGCUCUACCAGAACAUGGUUAUUUUUAGUAGAAGCAGUUAGGCCUUUGCAAUACAGGAGUGUGUCUCCUUUUAUCAGCUGUGGGUCAAAAGAGGCAGGAACCAAGUGCAUUGGGCAUCCUGUGACUAUCUCAAAGGGUGAGAGUUUAUGAGUUCCAGAGGGGAUGGAUCUGAGAUCUAGAAGGACCAAUGGCAAUGCUUUUGGCCAAGGUAUUUGGAGGGUCUCUACAAAUUAAUAACCAUUAGAAGUUGGCGUUACCCAAAGGAAUUUCCUGCAGAUUAUUGCAAGGAGUUAGGGGGUAUCUGUCAGCGUAAAGCAGUCCUGAGGGCCUUCAUUGGUAAUGGAGAGGGGAAGAGUAGCAGGGUUAAGGUUAUUACAACAUAAAAGAGUUAUGUGAGGAGCAGUUGACAAAAGGAUUUGAUAGGAGAUGAGGCGACUGACUGAACUAUAUUCAGUAUGAUGAAAACUCACGGGGGCUUCCACAGUGUGAGGUACAAAAAUUGUUAAAGGGACCCCACAUGAUUUUCUCAGUGUCCUUAACCAAAGGGCAGUGGGAGUAAUGGCUCUAAGGCAAGGGGGGAUCCCCAUGCCACAGGGUCUAGUUGCUGGCUAUAAUGCUCUAUGAGGUCCCUGUGUUUUCGGGUGAGUAUCACAAGGGCAUUCCCUUCUUUUUCAUAUACAAAACAGAAAAAAGGAAGUUGAUAAUUGGGAUGUCCAAGGGCAAGUGGAUUCAUCAGACUCUUCUUUAAGGCCUUAAAGGAUUUGUUGUCCAGUUCUUCCCAUAAAACUAGGUUGGGAUUGUUGUUCUUUACUACAGCACAUAGAGGUUUGGCCAUAGGAGAAAUUUGGAAUCCAAUUUCAGCAAUAACCAACUAGCUAGAGAAAACCUAGCAGUUGACUCUUAGUUUUGAGUUUUGGGAAACGUAGGAUGCCAUGCAGCCUGUGUGGAACUAAGUGGAGGCCUUAUUCUAGUAUCAGAUGCCCUAAAUAUCAAACCUAGGUUUGGGCAAACUGCAAUUUCUCCUUGGUGACUUUAUGUGCCUUUAAGGCUAAAAGCUUUAGGAAAUGGAUGCUGUUUUCUGUGAGGACACUUAAAAAGAAGAGCAAAGAAGCAAAUCGUCCACAUAUUACAACAAAGUCCUUAGGGAACUUCCAUCAUCCAGAUCAGCCUUCAGGAUUUGUGAGAAGUAAGACUGAGUUAAACCCUGAGGCGUUACUGUCUGGGUGAAUUGUUUUCCUUCCCAAGUGAAGGCAAAAAGGUAUUGGCUAGCUUCAUCAACUGGAAUGCUAAAGAAUGCACUGCAUACAUCAAUUACCUUCCGGAAAGAAUUUGCUCAGGACAGAUGUUAGUAGUGUGUGAGGAGUAGGAGCAACAGGGUGUGGAGGGAUAACGAUAUUGUUUGUUUCUCGGAGGUCCUGGACAAAGCUUCACCCUCAGCCCUUGGUUUUCUCACAGGUACAAUAGGAGAAUUAUAGGGACUAGUGCGAGGGAUAAUGAGGCCCUGAACCUUGUAAUCCUCUAUGAUGGGCUUUAUACCUUGAAGGGCUUUUUUACUUAUAGGGUAUUGAUUAAUUCUGGGAAGAGGUUUUAAGGGGUCGAUGUGAAUUUUACUGGGAGGUGCACUGUGAAUUUUACCAAUAACAGUUGAAGAUUUUGCCCCUAAGGAGGGUGGUAACUGAUUCAAUGCGGACAAAUGAUCAUUGUUUCCAGAAUCAGCUCUAGUUCUCUCAGAGACAGAGCAAAUAAAAGGUGUCAAAGGGUCAUUUAAUUUACCUGGUCGGCCAUUUUGAUGGCUAUUGUCAAAUUCUAGAAUUACUUCCCCCUUUUGGGAGAAAGAAAUACUGGCAUGAUUCCUUUCCAAGAAGUCUCUGCCUAAUAAAUGAAUAUGGGUGGAGGAGCUAAGGGAAAAAGGGUGUGUGUCUAUCAAAGGGCCUAAACAAAAGGGCCUAGGUAGAGAGACAGGAACCUUUGAGGUUAUAGAGACCCCCACUAUUUGAGUUGUUCUAGUACAAAGCAGGGGCUGGUUUAUGUAGUAGUGAGGUUGAGCACCGAGAGUGUGGGUCCGGUGUCAAUUAGGACAGAAACAGAUUCAUCUCCAAUUUAGAGAAAUGUUUCUCCAAGCCGAUUAAGAAGGAACAUUUGGAAGAGCCCUUGUGGUUUCUCGGAGGCCUGUUACUGAGAAUUUGGAGGACAGUAGAAAGGCUGGUUAGAGGGCUGAAAGCACUUGAAGCACUUAAAUUGGUAACAAUCUCUUUUCCAAUGCCCUGGCCCCUUGCAAUAAUAAUAGAAACUAGGAGAAUUUUGGAUUCGUUUAGGGGCCUUUAUUUGCUGGAAUCGAAGAUUAAGAAUUUUGACAGUCUUUCUUUUAGGUGACUCAUCUAGAAUGUGAGAGAGUUGGUUUGCCAGGUUAACUAAAUCUGGAGUGGAUGUAGUUUCCCCUUCCAUCCUGGUCCUUUUUACUAGAAGAGAAAGGUCCUGGUUCAGUCCAUUGAUAAACAUAGAGUUAAAAGCUACCCAGGUGGAAACAACAUGUGAAGGAGGACCAGAAUUUUCUUUAAAAACAAUCUGAAAUCGAUUAUAACAGUCAUGAACAGGUUCAUCAGGUUUUUGUGCACAAGUCUGAACUUUGUUUCAAUCAACAGGCUUUGGGAAAGCCCUAGGAAUUGCCUGAUGAAGUCACCUAGCGAUUGCCGGAGCCUGAUCAUGCAACAGGGGAAGACAUGCUCGUAAAGUGCCCAAGUUCUCCUACCAGAGGAAGUCCCGUCCUGCUGCAGCACUUCCUAGAACUGAGUGUGUAAGUCUGUCUAACUGUGGAAUUCAGUGUUGUGAAGCCUACUGACCCACAAAGAUAAACUGCAUUCUCCAAUACCAGCUUAACCAGUAAAAUAUUACUGUAUUUAGACUC